rnacentral:rRNA from 1 species
UCGAGAAUUUUUCACAAUGGGGGAAACCCUGAUGGAGCGACGCCGCGUGGAGGAUGAAGGUUUUCGGAUUGUAAACUCCUGUCAUUAGAGAACAAGGCGCCGGUACUAACUGCACCGGCGUUGAUAGUAUCUGAAGAGGAAGAGACGGCUAACUCUGUGCCAGCAGCCGCGGUAAUACAGAGGUCUCAAGCGUUGUUCGGAUUCAUUGGGCGUAAAGGGUGCGUAGGUGGCGAUGUAAGUCGGAUGUGAAAUCUCCAGGCUCAACCUGGAAACUGCAUUCGAUACUGCGUUGCUUGAGGAUUGUAGAGGGCAUUGGAAUUCACGGUGUAGCAGUGAAAUGCGUAGAUAUC